rnacentral:rRNA from 1 species
UGGGGAAUUUUGGACAAUGGGGGGAACCCUGAUCCAGCCAUGCCGCGUGCAGGAUGAAGGCCUUCGGGUUGUAAACUGCUUUUGUACGGAACGAAAAGGUCUUUUCUAAUAAAGAAGGCUGAUGACGGUACCGUAAGAAUAAGCACCGGCUAACUACGUGCCAGCAGCCGCGGUAAUACGUAGGGUGCGAGCGUUAAUCGGAAUUACUGGGCGUAAAGCGUGCGCAGGCGGUUAUGCAAGACAGAUGUGAAAUCCCCGGGCUCAACCUGGGAACUGCAUUAGUGACUGCAUAGCUAGAGUGCGGCAGAGGGGGAUGGAAUUCCGCGUGUAGCAGUGAAAUGCGUAGAUAUGCGGAGGAACACCGAUGGCGAAGGCAAUCCCCUGGGCCUGCACUGACGCUCAUGCACGAAAGCGUGGGGAGCAAACA